rnacentral:ncRNA from 1 species
GCAGAGUAGGUUUCGGAGCGUUUGGGCGGUUAUGGAUGCCGCUCGCCAGUGCCCGCCGGACAGGGAGUUGCCGGUGGGACGAAAAGAAUUUCUUGCGGUUCCGGAAUCGCAUCCCGCUGC